UAGUUUAAUUUUUUUUGUUUUUUGCUACUGAAUUUAAAGUUAAAAUUGUUUUUCUUAAAAGUUUUACACCAAAAUGCGGAAAUUAUUUUCUUUCUUUUUUUCUGAGUUUCUAUUACAAUUUUCGGUAUAUUUCUGGUUGUUAAUUUGUCUGGGUGUGUGUUUUGCUAUUUAUGAGAUUACAUCCGAGUGAAAGAGUUCUGUUUUGUUUAGUAAAUUUGAUAUUGCAAAUAAAGACUUUGACUUUUCGUAAUUAUUUUGACUUUUUUUUAAAUUCAAAUUAAAAAAUUAUUUUAAUUCAAUUUGUAUUUUUUGUAGGUUUAAAUAUAAAUUGUUUUUCUCUUUUAUCAAUUUCAUUAUAAUUAUAAAUCACAGAAUUAUCUCAAAAUUGCCGCAUUUUAUAUUAUUUUUGUUGUUAUCAAACUGGUCUUUCAAACUCACUACAGCAUGGGAUGGUGUGUUCUGUUGGUGGGUCUUGAAAGCCGUUACUCUUUGUAUUUUGUUUGUAGUAAGUUUUUCAUUCUUUCAUUUUUAGUUUUUUUUUUCUUUUUGUUGAUCAAUAAAAUAAAAUUUAAAUUUUUUGUAAUAUUGUUGGGAUGACUGGACAAAAAAAUAAUUUUUCCAUUACUACAGCGAAUUGAUCAAUAUUUCUUUGGGAUUUAUUUUAAGAUUUUUUUUUGGUUUUUUUGUGUUUUUUUUUGAUUUUUCAUAUUUUUUUUCAAUUUUUUUAUUUCAUUUUUUUUUAAACGUAACAUUGUUUUUUGGUGAAUAUUAUUAACGUUGCUUCUUCUUCUCUGAUAUUGAUUUUUUUAUCUCCAUUUCAUUCGAAAUCAAUCAAAUCAAUGAAACAAAUAAUAAUAAAAAAUCCAAUAAAAUAAUUGAGAUUAUAGGAACAACUAAACUGAAAAUGUGAUUUGCAUAAUAUUUUCAAUUAAUUAAAAAAAGUUUCAAAAAAAAUUCAAUGCAACACUCGGCGUCUGAUAUAUGUAUUCGAUUAAUAUCCCCUAGGUUGUACGCCCGUUAGAAAAAAAUUUCCACUUUCUUUUACAAUUAUCUCACCGAAAUUUGAUUGAUAAAAAACAUUCUUUGUACUCAAGGAUAUGUUCUUUUAAGGAAUAUAUUUGUCAAACCAUUUCCGUCCACAUAAAAAAAAUUGGCAAAACGAGAGCACAAAAAUAUUGGCUACCGGCUCCAGAUGCUGGAGAUAAUCGGUUGAAUAUAUUUUGUCUCGCAUGUUUGUUAUUAUGAUGGAUUGAAAAAAUGAUUUCUUUUUUGUUUUUUUUUCGCGCUUUAACGUGUGACACCAAUUAGACUAUUCGAUAAUGAAUGGUUUUAGAUAUUCAUAUGCAUCGAUAGAUUGGCUACUUUAAUGUUUUAUCAAUCGUAUUUUUCGUUGUUUUUUUUUAAAGAAAAGGAACAAGUUUUUCUCAUUUUUUUUAAAGACUGUUAGAAAAAUACACCGCGUUUUUGUGUUUGCUGGAAGGAAAUCAUCUGUUAACAUUUUGUGUUAAUCAACUGAUAAUUGUUUACAUUAAAACAUUUUUUUAAAAUUAAUUUUUAUUAUAAGGAACUAAAAAAAGCAACUGAUCAAUCGAUUGAUUGAAUGUGAAAAUAUUAAACAAAUCAGAUUUUCAUUUGAGUUUAAGAAUUGUUUUUAUCUUUUUGAAAAUAUAAUUUUGACGUUUAAUUUUUUAACCAUUUUCCAAUAAUUUUUUUUUGUCAUUUUUUUGGGUUUAAAAUAAUCUUUAUGGGAAACAUAAUUCGCUGUUUUAAUCAAAAAAGUAUUUCUUUUUAGUUAAAAAUAAAAAAAAUUCUAUUUACAUUUUUAUGUUCUGUUGCAGUUCAUUUAAUGAAAAAAAUUAAAUAUUCUCUUCCUCUUAAAUGAAUGCACUACAAACGGAAGGAUAGGAGGGUAAAGAAACAUAAAAUUUUGAAUUUCAGAUUUUCAUUUUUUUUUUUCUUCAAUAUUUUAAUUCAAUUUGAGAUCACAUUUUUACUCUUUUUUCAAAAAAAUAAAAUAAUCAAAACAAAAUAGAAAAACGAAUGAAAUUUUGAUGGUUCUUUUUUUUACACAGAGUUUUAGUUUUUUGUUUUGUUUUCUCUUCUUAAAAUAAAAAUCUAAAUAUCUAGAGCAUUACAGUCUAUAGAAUUCUUUUAGUCAGUACCAUAAUUUUGUUUAGCUGGUAUUUGUUUAUGUAUUUCAUUUGAGAGUCAUUGUUUCUGCAAAAAAUGGUCAUUUUGGUCUCGUUUUAAGUCAGACGAAGAUUUUUCUUGUUGUUUUUAAAUUUAAUUUAAAUUCGAUAUUAUCAACCGGAUGUUGCGAUGGGAGACAUAUAUCGCUUUAAAUUAAAAAUGACGAUUUGUCGGAAAAAAAUGAAACUCAUUUUAGUACUAAUUCAUUGACUUUCUUCUCCUUUUUUACUGAAUCCUUUUUCUUCUUCUUCUUUUUCUUCUUAACCUUCUUCUACUUAACUUUCUUCUUCUUCUUCUUUUUCUUCUACUUCUUCCUCUACUACAUCUUCGUCUUCAACUUCUCCUUUCUCUCUUUUUGUUUAAUUACUAUCCAUAUCCAUACAAAGUGUGCUUUCUGCAAUAAUAAGCAAAUCACUUUCUUCUUAACUUCAUUUCACAUUCACUUCUUAUUUUCACAUUAAUUUUUCUUCAAUUAAUUUCAAA